rnacentral:rRNA from 1 species
UGGAUCGACAUUGCAGUUCCGAAGAGUGAGGGAGGAAUGGGAUUCAGGGACAUUCAACUUUUCAACCAAGCUAUGUUGGCGAAGCAGGGUUGGAGGUUGAUAACGAAUCCAAACUCGCUUUGUGCAAGAAUUCUAAAAGGCAAGUAUUACCAUGAUUGUGACUUCAUGUCCGCAAGAAAUAAAAGAAAUGCUAGUCAUACAUGGAGAGCUAUUCUGCAUGGGAGAGAGGCGCUUAGCAAAGGUUUAAUUAAGAGGGUUGGUGAUGGAAGUUCUAUCAGGAUUUGGGAGGACCCGUGGAUACCGAAGAGUUAUAGUAAGCAGCCACUGAUUAGAUUACCUACUGCAUAUGUAUUAAAAGUGAAAGAGCUGAUUUAUCCAUGA